GGAUAUAGCUUAGUUGGUAGAGUGCUUGUCUUGCAUGCACCAGACCCUGGGUUCAAUCCCCAGCAUGGCCA
rnacentral:tRNA from 1 species